UUUUAAUAACGCAGGAAAAAUUAAUCCGGCUGCUCUGCUGCAUGCCCUCAAGGAAGGGCAGCGGAGACAGCCAAGUUCUUUCCACACAGCACCUUUUUCUAACAAGAUCUGCCUUUCAAACAAACCAGGAAAAACAGGCGUAAUUAAAGGGCAAUCAAAGCGCUGCAGGAACCUCGCUGUCAGCGAGAUGAAAGAUGCCUUUCUGAAAUGAAGGCUUGCGUACCCAGAUCUCUUCUCCCCGGUUUAUCUUGGACGCCGCGCUCCUUUGUCACACAAGAAGCGCCCGCAAUUUUGCUUAGUCCAAAGGCUACAUAUGCAGAAGCUUCAGAUGAGAUGUCACCUCGGACAGCCUCUCCUUACUCACCGCGGCGUGGAAGAGGAGAACAAAGAGACGCACGACCCUUCGACCGAGCUAACCUGAAGAGUUAGUUUGAGGCUGACCCGGUGACAGCAGUCCCAAGGAGCAGCCCAAACAACCCAUUGAUCAGCCGCACACGAAAGAGAAACUGCCCAGCAGCUCCACGGUUGUUAUUGAAAUGCUGAUGGUGGAAAACGUGUGGUUUCUCUAAAGGCUUUGACAAAUAUGGACACGGAAGGGAAAAAUAAAGGGUCUUUUCUAAAGCUACGUCCACAUGGAUAUACAUAAAAUAGGCCCUGACACGCUCAGUCUGUGCUGGGAGCUGGCAGGAUGCAAAUCCUCUGGCCCCAAAGCCUUAUAAAUUACACCAGCGUGGCUCCGAGGCCUUCCGAGAGCAGCGCGGUGCGCUAACGAAGCCAUGUGGCUUCCAGGACGGGCGCUGGGUCGCGGCCAGGCAGCUCGCAGCGCGGGCAGGGCAAGCACAGCUCUGCCCGCACACAUCCACCGAGGCACGUCCUAAGAAAGCAGUGCUGAGGAGACUGCUCUGUCUUUAAAAGAAGAAGAAGAAAAAAAAAAACAAAAAACCCCAGCAGCUUAGUAGGGAUCACCUGAGAGGUCGCUAAUCUUCCUGCUCUCACAUUCGUUUCUUCACCUCCCACGUGCGCACCGCAGGUUUUGCAUCAGCAGGAGGCGAGCCAGGAAAAGGGAGAUAAAAAAACAGAAUUGGGCAACUCGUGCACCUGUGGGCUCGCCUCCCGCCUUUGGGAUCGGACGCUCCAAAUAAGGCUCGUCUGGCAGGUCCGCGACAGGGCCGCAUCCGCUCCAGCCCCGCUCAGCGCCCUCCUGCUCGGAGCCCGAGGAAUUGGUUUGCACUGGAGCCCCCGAAGCCCCGUCUGGGUGCCUGGCACCGGGCGCGCCGCGGGUCCCACACCCCGCCAGGGAAGGAGGAGCGGGAGCCAUCGCCCAGUCGCAGAUAAAAGAACGUCCUCGGAGCAAGUUCAUCCCAUCAAGAGACCGAGAAGGCACGGUAAUGAAAGGAAAAUGCAUAUUCCCCCUCAAAGGGGAACGCCGAGUGUUAUUCCAACGUGUUCUGGGGCAAGGAAAUACAGGAACGUCUCUGCUCACAGCACGUGGGAAAAGCGGGGAGAGAGGUUCCCAUUCCUGCCAGCGCUUCCUCCCCGCCCCACGCUCUGAUAAGAUAAAGAUGCGGCCCAGGUGUCAGCUCCCGUCGGGGUGGUUCGAAAGAAAACAAAAGCAGCAGCUUGGGGGGGGUGAAAAAUUGGCAAUAAGGUAAAAAAAAAAAAAUAAUAAUAAUAAUCUGAAAGAAUGAAGUCUACAAAGGCACAGAAAUGGCUGAAGGGAAGUUCUGCCAUAAGGCACGAAAGGAAUGGAAGUUAAAAAAAAAAAUACCAGCACCCAGCUUUCCACCUAGGAAAGCUCACCGAGGGAAGGGUUUUGUUUUGGCUUUAUGAAACACGCCGCGAGCUUCAGAGCCAGGCGGAAGACCAGAAAGGUGGUGGAGAUUGAGACACCGAGUCCUGAGGGGAGAUCUUAGCUGAAAAACUCCUCCUGGUGUGCAACGUUUAGAACCAAGGGCAACAGACACUUGGUUUUAGAGAACCCAGGCCAGAGUAGGAGAGCUCCGUGUUGAGAGGCAGGCAACGCUUGCUGUGCUUUUCCUACGUCCCUGCUCCAACGCUGCAUGUGCUUGUGCCUCAAAGUACCUGUGGUCUGUAGCGCUGGCUCCAAACCAAUCUCCCUCCUUGAAGUAUGUUUGACUCAUCACAUUUCAUAGUUUCAUUUCCAACUAACCAAACCUGUACGUCCUCAAUGCUGCUCAAGGUGGCAACACCUUCUUUAAUGAGGCAUAUGACUGCCGCUUCAUUACAAUGGCAUCCAUAUAAAUACGGGCAAUACUCAUCAAUCACAAAAGUUGAGUUCUUCCUACGGCGAACACCAAGCGAGGGCUACGCUACAAGAAACUCUUAAAGUAAAUCAGCAGCGUACACCCCAGCCUUACUUUGAGUUAGAGCAAGAAAUCUGUCCUCUCCAGGAGAAAAGUCCUGCCCAGGAACUGCAGGCAGGAAGCACAAGGGCCUGCCAGCAGACCACCCUCACCGGGCAACCUAAUAUUUCUGAAGGCCAAUUCAAGUUUGCCACAAAUUACCUUAAUGCAGGACUGUCCCACUCGUCUUGGACAAAAAAAAAGAGCAUUGUUUAAACUCUGUUAUUCAGGGUGUCACUUGAGAGACGUCACAGCACCUCGUCUUCAGUGGAAAGAAGCAAGAAGCUCUACCACAGCAUUCUCCACCUCCAAAGCCGUGGUCAGACCCUUACGACAUACCCCCUUUUAGGGGAAAGGGUCUUUUCGCACAGUGUCUGCUUACAGCACCAAAGGGUGCCUCGAACACCACCUCGAGUUCUUGCAGCUACAAAAUCUGGCGAACACGCAAUCACCGAGAAGACGCGGGUGUGUUUUGCUGCGUUCUGCCAAACCCUGCCUCUCCUUCGAGCUGCAGCUGAGCAGGUUGGGCACGUGAGCCGUUCCGAAGCCCCCCGGCUCGCCCCGGGCAGAGCCCCGGCCCUCCUGCUCCACGGGGCAGGAGCUCAGACGGGACUUGAGCAAAGCCGGAUCCAGCGAAGCCAGUUACCCCUGGGGAAACCGAUCUGGCCAGAUUGUUCAACUGUCACUGACCCGAGAGCGGGCCACGUCCCCAGGCCAGAGGCAAGGGAGAGAGAAUUUGCCUCACACGGCCUAACGGGUAGCAGCAGGGGUAACAGGACAGCCAACAGUAAGAACAGAGUGGCAGGAAAGACGGGUAAGAAACGCGCGCUUAACCACGCGCAUAACGACAAUUUCCACCAGAAGACCUCUAACGGACGCCAGCCGGGGGAGGAGAACCAGGCACGCUGUACAGACACGAGAGGAGGUGGCUCCCAGUCUCAAAAACUCACACCCUGAACCUACAGACGCUUCUCCCCAUUGCCAGGUGGAGGCAAUCCACACAGAAAGCGCUACAAGGACAGGAAUUCCUCUUCCCCAAGUUCAGCAACAGACUUUAAAGACGGCCAAAGCCUGCUUGGUCAACGAGGAGGGGCAGGCACCUCCACAGCAAGCUCCAUCCCAGCCCUAAUGAAGUAACAGAAGCGAAAGAUGACCAGCCUGUGUUCAGACAUCCAAAAGCUGUUACACAAAAACAAUUCUACCUCGACCUUCUGCCCAACGCAGCAGAAGCCCAGGACAGGGUGGGAAACUGUUUGAAGUCUCCGCAAGCCUCAGGGUGACUCCAGUGUUACCCGUUGCGUGCGAGCGAGCGUAUCAGCUCCCCAUCUCUGUCAGACUCAUCAGGCCACGCUUCCACCCAGCUGGGGCUGCUCCCGAGUAGCUGUGCUGACCACAGCACCUCCUCUCCAUCUUUCUAUCCUAUAUUUGCUCUCUUUCCAGUCUCGGAAGCACCACUUACAGGCAGCCUCUCUCCCCCACUCAAAACCUGGUCUUCCUCCCCACCCUCAGCUCCCUUCCCCUUUAGGUCCUGAGCCCUUUUUCCAGCUUGAACGCGCCUGGGAAGCCCACCGAGUUCUUAACGCGCCGCUCUCCCCCAGGCUGGCCGUUCCCAGCGACUCCUGUGCUGUCUCCGAGGAACAGAAGAGGGCAGAGAGGAGCUGCCAGAAAGAAGCACAAAACAUUUGCUCCGAAAGCCACAGGCACUGAUCCCAGAGUGGGAAAAGCCUGUCACGCGUGAAGUGCUCCUGGUGUACUCGACAGCACACACCCAGCCAGCUGCGGGACACCAGCAGUCGCUCCAAGCAGAGCUGCUCCGUCCCGCAUCCAGGAGGCGUGCCCAGCUCUCGUCAGAACAGUUUUGCCUCACCAGAAAGCUGUAUUUCACCCAAUCCCCUGUGCCUCCAGGCCAAAGCACUCUCAGGGAGCGAGGCGACACGCUCCCGGCACGGACAAAGCGGCUCUGACGUUCCUGUACGUCCCCACAGCAAGGGCUAGCACGAGGCAAGGCAAGUUCUUGUAAACCUCUGGUCCCAGAGCUGCGAGGAGCAACUCGGUGUGACGAGACGGCAUUUCCCCCUCAGCAGUUCUGACCCACGCCCCGAGCCCCGGGUGCCUGACCGAGCAAUUACAGCACAAACCUCAGGCGCAGAGCCUCACACCACCGCACCGCACCGCACGGCACCGAGUCCUCCCCACAGCAACCUGGAACCGAGAGCAGCAGGGAAAGGGGCGAAGCAGCAACCCCGGGAGAAUCACCUGGCUCUGGGCCAGGUUAACUCCGGGGCGCAGGAAGCAAGUUUCUAAUAGGCAAGGCUUGCUGGCUGGUUAAAUACACCGUCUACGCAACGCCGCUCUUAUUAACCAUCAGACUUGGUUUAUUUCUGAUGCUACAGAAGGUCUUCCACAGGUACUCAGCGCUCCUCAUUCCCUGCUCUUCAUAUUCUUCACGACUAUUCUUUGGGGG